rnacentral:lncRNA from 1 species
GCACAAGUCAGAAACACCAGGGGUAGUGCUACAUAAGAAGUCAGGGACAUCAGGGACAGUGUGACACAAGAAGUCAGAGAUGCCAUGGGGAUUAUGACACGUGAAGUCAGAGUUGCCAGGGGGGUUGUUACUCAUGAAGUCAGAGACACCACGUAGACUGAUACACAUGAAAUGAGAACACAAGAGACAUUCUGAGAAAUGAAAUCCUUGACACCAGAUGGAGAGUGACACAUGAAGUAAGAGAUGAAUUGGUGAGUGAUACACUCGAAGUCAGAGACGCUGGGGGAGUCUAACAUACGAAAUCAGAGCCACCAGGGUACAGUUCCCUUCAGAGAUGCUCACCUCUCCCAUUAUAAUACAUCAACAAUUAGUGCCAGAGAAAAAUGAUCCUCAACACACCACAACUGGUCUCAGGUGAUCGAGGAGGAGGAGGAUGGAGCUGGGUGCACGAGAUCUGACACCUCCUUGCCAAUUCACUACAGAGAGACAGAGCAUAGUUUCUGCCUCUGGUUUUACAGAUUGGAAGUUCAUUUCCAGCAUGAUGUCCAUCAUGAUAGAAUGAUACCUCUACAAAAAAACUAAGAACUUUCAGGUGCUCAUAUUGUGGAACUUCUCUGUAUUAUUAUGUUCUUCCUGUUUCUUCUUUUGUUUUCAUUGAAGCAUAUUGUACC